UACCUUCUCUGUGUUUGAGUUGGAAAGCCACCCACCACAUUAACUUGUUGUUGGUAGUCAUCCUAGAGCAUGGGGCACAUGUCUCUGAGGUGUCCUAAAUGCGUACAAAUCCCACACGCUUGGGCUCGCUAGUUGUUUUUUGUAGUCAUCUUUUUUAUCAAAUGAGUUAGUUCAGAUAUUUGAGACUCUAUGGUAGAGAUACUUACCUCGUUCACUCUUUAAGGGG
rnacentral:lncRNA from 1 species